UACGUAGGGUGCAAGCGUUAAUCGGAAUUACUGGGCGUAAAGCGUGCGCAGGCGGCUUUGCAAGACAGAUGUGAAAUCCCCGGGCUCAACCUGGGAACUGCAUUUGUGACUGCAAGGCUAGAGUACGGUAGAGGGGGAUGGAAUUCCGCGUGUAGCAGUGAAAUGCGUAGAUAUGUGGAGGAACACCGAUGGCGAAGGCAGCCCCCUGGGUUAACACUGACGCUCAUGCACGAAAGCGUGGGGAGCAAACAGG
rnacentral:rRNA from 1 species